rnacentral:rRNA from 1 species
AUUGAACGCUGGCGGCAGGCCUAACACAUGCAAGUCGAGCGGGGUUUUCGGACCUAGCGGCGGACGGGUGAGUAAUGCGUAGGAAGCUGCCCGAUAGAGGGGGAUACCAGUUGGAAACGACUGUUAAUACCGCAUAAUGUCUACGGACCAAAGUGUGGGACCUUCGGGCCACAUGCUAUCGGAUGCGCCUACGUGGGAUUAGCUAGUUGGUGAGGUAAUGGCUCACCAAGGCGACGAUCUCUAGCUGGUUUGAGAGGAUGAUCAGCCACAAUGGAACUGAGACACGGUCCAGACUCCUACGGGAGGCAGCAGUGGGGAAUAUUGGACAAUGGGCGCAAGCCUGAUCCAGCCAUGCCGCGUGUGUGAAGAAGGCCUUCGGGUUGUAAAGUACUUUCAGCGAGGAGGAAGGGAUGUAUGUUAAUAGCAUGCAUUUUUGACGUUACUCGCAGAAGAAGCACCGGCUAACUCUGUGCCAGCCGCCGCCGUAAUAC